AAAGUAUCUCUGGCAACUGUUUAUCAAAAACACAGCUCCCUGCGAACUCGCAAGAGGAUGUAUAGGGGGUGACACCUGACCAAUGCCAGAAGGUCAAAUAUCGGUGGUGCAUGGUCGCAAGAUUGUGUGCUGGCUGAUAUAAGCCCUGGUGAAUGUCGGCCGUAACUAUAACGGUCCUAAGGUAGCGAAGUACCUUGUCGGGUAAGUUCCGACGCGCACGAAUGGUGUAAUGACUGGAGAACUGUCUCGAAGACCUGCUCGGUGAAAAUACAAUACCGGUGAAGAUGCCGGUAGGGAUAACAGGCUAGUUCCGCCUAAGAGUUCAUAUCGACGGCGGAGUUCGGCACCUCGAUGUCGGCUCACCUUAUCCUGGUGGUGGAGAAGCUGCCAAGGGUUUAGCUGUUCGCUAAUUAAAAAGGUACGCGAGCUGGGUUCAAACCGUUAAGAUCAUAAACGAUUGUGAUUUUAACAGUUUGAACCGUCGAGGAAAGUAAAGAAAUCUCGUAUAUUUCUUUCAAUGUUUUAAUCUGAGAUUAAGACCGCUAUACACAGUUGUGUAUAUCACGGCGGCCCCGCCAAUAAAACGACGGGGAGAAUUUCACUUAUAUCGGUGAAGUCCUACUUUUAUAAAAGAGGAUAAUACCGAGGGAAGCGUAAGCACCCGUAGAGACUAAAUGUGAAAUAUUUUUUGAGAAAUCAAAAGAGAAAGUUAUAGUCCAAUCCCACAAGUAAUUGUGGUUCCCAUUUUUGUAUUUAAACGCGCAAAAAUGAAGAGACUAAAUCAUUUUUAGUAAAAAAUGAUCGUCCGAACUUUUGUUUACAAAAGUUUUAGGAAGUAAAAUAUAGAUGCGUGAGACAGGUUGGUCUCCUAUCUACUGCAGGCGUUGAUUCUUGAGAAGAUCUGCUCUUAGUACGAGAGGACCGGAGUGGACUGACCUCUGGUGUGUGGGCUCUACUGCCAAGUGGACUGCCCAGUAGCUAUGUCGGGAAUGGAUAAGUUCUGAAAGCAUCUAAGAACGAAGCCAACUUCAAGAUGAGGAAUCGUUUGAGAAACCUAAGAGAUGAUUAGGUUGAUAGGCACUAGGUGUACAGACAGUAAUGUCUUUAGCCGAGGUGUACUAAUCGUUCGA
rnacentral:rRNA from 1 species